UCCUUCUGGAAAUGUGAGACCAAAUAAUCUUCUAUGAAUCGCCUUGGCCAUGGUAUUCCAUUGCAGCAAUUGAAUAUGCAUAGAACAUGUGGAGGACUGCAGACUUAGAGAGACAACUGAGAGAAGCCAAGGGAUCCAGGCAAGGUGUGAAAUCUCCACUUCAUAAAAGAAAUUUGCUAGACAUACAAUCAGGCGCUGAUUCACCACUUUCUACUGUAUUGAUGAAGAACAUUUUAGCCUUAUUUCCACCCACUGGACUCAGGGCCUGUGUCCUGCCCAGGGAGCUGUGGAAGGAGAGAAGCCCUGCGGCCAUACUCGCUGCCUGCUGGGACACAAAAGGA